rnacentral:rRNA from 1 species
GACGAACGCUGGCGGCGUGCCUAAUACAUGCAAGUCGAACGCUGAAGGAGGAGCUUGCUUCUCUGGAUGAGUUGCGAACGGGUGAGUAACGCGUAGGUAACCUGCCUGGUAGCGGGGGAUAACUAUUGGAAACGAUAGCUAAUACCGCAUAAGAGUAGAUGUUGCAUGACAUUUGCUUAAAAGGUGCAAUUGCAUCACUACCAGAUGGACCUGCGUUGUAUUAGCUAGUUGGUGGGGUAACGGCUCACCAAGGCGACGAUACAUAGCCGACCUGAGAGGGUGAUCGGCCACACUGGGACUGAGACACGGCCCAGACUCCUACGGGAGGCAGCAGUAGGGAAUCUUCGGCAAUGGACGGAAGUCUGACCGAGCAACGCCGCGUGAGUGAAGAAGGGUUUCGGAUCGUAAAGCUCUGUUGUAAGAGAAGAACGAGUGUGAGAGUGGAAAGUUCACACUGUGACGGUAGCUUACCAGAAAGGGACGGCUAACUACGUG